CCCUUAGACACUCUAGGCGGCACGCGCGCUACAAUGGGUGGAAGACCGUGUUACUGCCUUCGAAAGAAGGGGUGAAUCACGAAUUCUUACCCGUGAAUGGGAUAGUUUGUUGCAAUUUUCGGACUUGAACUAGGAAUCCCUUGUAAGCAUGCUCAAGAAUAGCGUGUUGAAUACGUCCCUGCCGUUUGUACACACCGCCCGUCGUUUCUUCCGACUGAUACUCAUUGUGAGUUGCAAGGACGCUUCGUUGUGAAAUUGCUGCGAAUGCUUUGUAUUGGAGGAAGAAAAAGUCGUAACA
rnacentral:rRNA from 1 species